UACGUAGGGGGCAAGCGUUGUCCGGAUUUAUUGGGCGUAAAGAGCGUGUAGGCGGCUUUACAGGUCCGUUGUGAAAACUCGAGGCUCAACUUCGAGCUGUCGGUGGAAACUGUCUGGCUAGAGUCCGGAAGAGGAGAAUGGAAUUCCUGGUGUAGCGGUGAAAUGCGCAGAUAUCAGGAAGAACACCCGUGGCGAAGGCGGUUCUCUGGGACGGUACUGACGCUGAGACGCGAAAGCGUGGGGAGCGAACAGG
rnacentral:rRNA from 1 species